rnacentral:rRNA from 1 species
UACGUAGGUCCCGAGCGUUGUCCGGAUUUAUUGGGCGUAAAGCGAGCGCAGGUGGUUUAAUAAGUCUGAUGUCAAAGGCAGUGGCUCAACCAUUGUGUGCAUUGGAAACUGUUAGACUUGAGUGCAGUAGAGGAGAGUGGAAUUCCAUGUGUAGCGGUGAAAUGCGUAGAUAUAUGGAGGAACACCGGUGGCGAAAGCGGCUCUCUGGACUGUAACUGACACUGAGGCUCGAAAGCGUGGGUAGCAAACAGG